UGCAUCGGCCGGGAAUCGAACCCGGGCCGACCGCGUGGAAGGCGAGCAUUCUACCACUGAAUCACCGAUGG
rnacentral:tRNA from 1 species